rnacentral:tRNA from 1 species
GCUGAUGUAGUUCAGUGGAAGAGCACUCACCUUGCAUGUGGGAGGUACUGGGUUUGAUCCUUAGCAUCACA